UCUUCCACUUACUAGUUAUUGAAUUUUCUGGUUUUAUCACAAAUUUAUAGUGGCAAAUACUUUGUUUAAAAAAAUUGAGGUGUGCUCUUUGUGUUUCAAGCAUUAAGAGAGGUAGUGCGACACUAGUUGUAUUUUACUCUACAUGUUGAUAGAUGGUGGUGUACCAGCUCCAGAAGAAAAGAAAGAAAAAUCUCUCACUCUCUCCCUCUCUGCCGAAACCAGCAACCAAAACAGAGCAUUCCUUCUCCAAGCUUGUUCUCGCUCCACAGGCCUUCGAAUCGACCCAGACCACGUUCCACAGCUUCGCCUCUUCCUUUCGCAGCUGCCGGUAACAGCCUUUCGCCGUCUCGUGGGCCGUACACGGCGGUGGAGCACGAGGCCGGUUUACCCCCGUUUUGAUUUCAAGCUUGAUAUCUCAAGUUACCAUUCACCACUCCUCACCAAACUCCAUCCACAAGCUCACCUCAACGUCCUGAAGCUCCCAGAAGUGGCCUUGCACGGCGGCGCUACUCGUGGUGGCGGCUGGAAGCCAGACCCGAUCAAAUCGAAAACCAAAGCUUCGAUCGACAUAUCUCGCGCUACAGGAUGUUGUUUUGAGUGUUUCUUGAACUGGUGAACUCAGAGUGAGGAUCUGAACAACUUUCCAGAAGGCAUCGAGGCCUGAAAUUGAAGUUUUUACGUCGAUCGGAGCCCUCGCCGGAUUCUGCAAAAUUCUGCAAAUUUUCCGACCACCGAAGCUUUCGAUCGGUAUAUCUCGAGCUACAGACCAUAUUUUUCUGUGAUUCUUGAACCAAUGCGUUCGUCUUGAGUUUCUUAACAACUCUCUAGAAGGAAUCGAAGCCUGAAAUUGAAGUUUUGACGUCGAAAUCAAGCCUUGCCGGAUUCUGCAAAUUUCGCCGGAUUCUGGAAAUUUUCCGGCCACCUCGACUGUUCUAGGUUAUUGACGGUUUGAGUUGGUGGACGAUUGUGGAUCGUAUUUUGAGCUGAAUUGAAGACGCAGCGGGAUUAUCGAGCGGGAAAUCCUACAGGUCAGGAGAACCAGGACGGUGAUCGGGCUGCUUAGAGUAGUGUUAUGUGAAUUACAGCAUUAUAUUGUGAGGUUUGUUAUGCUCAUUUAGAGCUUUGCAAUUUUACUUUGUAAGAGUGAAUUGUAAUAAUUAACUCGAGGUUUUCGAGUUUUUGUGUUGAGUGGCGAGUGGUGUGUUUGUUUGUGAGAAAAAAAUUCAGAACGUUAUUUGUAUUAAUUGUUUAUUCAUGUU